UACGGGGGGGGUAAGCGUUGUUCGGAAUUACUGGGCGUAAAGGGCUCGUAGGCGGCCAACUAAGUCAUACGUGAAAUCCCUCAGCUUAACUGGGGAACUGCGUGUGAUACUGGAUGGCUUGGAUUUGGGAGAGGGAUGCGGAAUUCCAGGUGUAGCGGUGAAAUGCGUAGAUAUCUGGAGGAACACCAAUGGCGAAGGCAGCUCGCUGGGACGUUACUGACGCUGAGACGCGAAAGCGUGGGGAGCAAACGGG
rnacentral:rRNA from 1 species